GACGUAGGGGGCAAGCGUUGUCCGGAUUCAUUGGGCGUAAAGAGCGUGUAGGCGGCCAGGUAGGUCGGUUGUGAAAACUGGAGGCUCAACCUUCAGAGGUCGACCGAAACCAUCUGGCUAGAGUCCGGGAGAGGAGAGUGGAAUUCCUGGUGUAGCGGUGAAAUGCGCAGAUAUCAGGAGGAACACCGGUGGCGAAGGCGGAUCUCUGGGCCUUACCUGACGCUCAGGUGCGAAAGCUAGGGGAGCAAACAGG
rnacentral:rRNA from 1 species